CCUACGGGAGGCAGCAGUGAGGAAUAUUGGUCAAUGGGCUUACGCCUGAACCAGCCAAGUCGCGUGAGGGAAGACUGCCCUAUGGGUUGUAAACCUCUUUUGUCAGGGAGCAAUUGGCGCUACGUGUAGCGUUCUCUAGAGUACCUGAAGAAAAAGCAUCGGCUACCUCCGUGCCAGCAGCCGCGGUAAUACGGAGGAUGCGAGCGUUAUCCGGAUUUAUUGGGUUUAAAGGGUGCGUAGGCGGAAUGCCAAGUCAGCGGUAAAAUCGCGGGGCUCAACCUCGCUCCGCCGUUGAAACUGGCGGUCUUGAGUGGGCGAGAAGUAUGCGGAAUGCGUGGUGUAGCGGUGAAAUGCAUAGAUAUCACGCAGAACUCCGAUUGCGAAGGCAGCAUACCGGCGCCCAACUGACGCUGAAGCACGAAAGCGUGGGUAUCGAACAGGAUUAGAUACCCGUGUAGUC
rnacentral:rRNA from 1 species